AUUUUAACUAAAUAUAAUCUAUUAUUAAAUCUAAAUGAGUGUCUAAGUUAGUGAGAAAUGAUUGCUUUGUAAUCAGUAAAGUUCCUAAAACUUCCGAGAGAUGGCGAUGUGCCCAAAGGGUACAAAGUUACAUCGCACUAUCAUUUGUUCUAUACUAUUCAUGCAGAUCAAGGUCUUAUACUCAUGUUUAGUAUUUGUUCAAUAUUGUGUUUGAGAAGAAUAAAGGUGUAAGUGCAAGAGUGUGUUUUAUUGUGAGCCAUAUGGUAAGAGUGUUGAGUAAAAUGUUAAACAUAAUGGUGCCGAAACCGGGAGAACUGUGAGUAAUACAACUUAAGUAAAUAUCAGUGAAAAAGACUUAGUGCAAUCGCGGUUAUAAAUUAACUUUAACUAUUUCGAGUGUUUAAAAAAAAAGACUUAGUAAAAUUCAGUGUUUGUUUAGACUUAGAAAAAUUUCAAUUCGAAAACACUUAGAAAAUUUCGCGUUGUAGACGAUAAUAUCAUCCAUAUAGACUUUGAAAAAUUUUGUAUGAGAAUAACUUGUACAAAUAUUUGAUGAAAUAGUGACUUAGUUAAUGCGGCUUAUAUGAACUUUGUUGUUGCCAAUAGGACAUUUAUAUUGAUAAGUUUAUGAUUGAACUUUAGAUAUAUUGGACAUUUGAAAUUGUUUAUGUGCUACUACUGAACUUUUGGUUUAUCGAACUUUUGUUUUAAAUUAAUUUAGUUUUCAAAUAAAGAUGCAGUCGUUAAUUUUGGUACAAGAAGAUCGUUUUGAAAACUUGAAAGCGGAGAGAAAUUAUAAAAAAUAACCGAAAGAGAGAGUAACCAAAGGUUAUACUGAAUCUAGAUUGGAGACUUUAGAAACAUUGUGGACCGAAUUUAAGUGUGAUCAUCGAGAAAUUGUGGCGCAAGCUACUAAAGAUAUAAGAAAAGAAUUAUCAUACUUUUCUGAGGAUUUAUACGAGCAAUUUGAAGAAUUUUAUACUGCCUACAAAUCACUAUUAAAAAGUAAACUUGAACAGCUUCAAUCUUUAACAGAAAAGCAAAGUAUAAUUGUUUCUAUGCCCAAUUCUGGAGCAUGUUCUAUGCAUAAUGAAGUAAAUUUGCCGUUAAUUAAACUACCCUCAUUUACUGGAAAAUAUAAUGAAUGGCAAUCUUUUAAUGAUUUAUUUGAGAGCUUAAUUCACAACAAUAAGAAGUUAAGUUAAGUACAGAAGCUUCAUUAUUUGAAGAGUUGUUUAAGCGGAGAACCUGAAGAUUUGCUACGCAAUUUAACUAUUACUGAUGCAAACUAUGAGCUACUAACUAUAACUAAACUAUACGCUCGAAUGCUAUUGGUUUAAGCACACUCUGACGUCAAAGUCCAUUGUAAACAGAAUUGCUGGCAUGGUUAUAAUAUAAGUAUAUAAUAUAAAAAAUAUUAAAUUGUACCAUGGUUUUUUAUUAUUAAAUUAUUGUAUAAUUAUUAUCUACAUUGACUCCAAAGUGGAUUUCUUAAAGUGCAAUCACUAAUAA